AUUGAACGCUGGCGGCAUGCCUUACACAUGCAAGUCGAACGGCAGCACGGGAGCAAUCCUGGUGGCGAGUGGCGAACGGGUGAGUAAUAUAUCGGAACGUGCCCGGUCGUGGGGAUAACGUAGCGAAAGCUACGCUAAUACCGCAUACGAUCUACGGAUGAAAGCGGGGGAUCGCAAGACCUCGCGCGAUUGGAGCGGCCGAUAUCAGAUUAGGUAGUUGGUGAGGUAAAGGCUCACCAAGCCGACGAUCUGUAGCUGGUCUGAGAGGACGACCAGCCACACUGGGACUGAGACACGGCCCAGACUCCUACGGGAGGCAGCAGUGGGGAAUAUUGGACAAUGGGCGAAAGCCUGAUCCAGCAAUGCCGCGUGAGUGAUGAAGGCCUUAGGGUUGUAAACUGCUUUUGUACGGAACGAAACGGUGAGCUCUAAUACAGUUUGCUAAUGACGUACCGUAAGAAUAAGC
rnacentral:rRNA from 1 species